rnacentral:rRNA from 1 species
GGGUUGUGAGGUUAAGCGACUAAGCGUACACGGUGGAUGCCCUGGCAGUCAGAGGCGAUGAAGGACGUGCUAAUCUGCGAUAAGCGUCGGUAAGGUGAUAUGAACCGUUAUAACCGGCGAUUUCCGAAUGGGGAAACCCAGUGUGUUUCGACACACUAUCAUUAACUGAAUCCAUAGGUUAAUGAGGCGAACCGGGGGAACUGAAACAUCUAAGUACCCCGAGGAAAAGAAAUCAACCGAGAUUCCCCCAGUAGCGGCGAGCGAACGGGGAGCAGCCCAGAGCCUGAAUCAGUGUGUGUGUUAGUGGAAGCGUCUGGAAAGGCGCGCGAUACAGGGUGACAGCCCCGUACACAAAAAUGCACAUGCUGUGAGCUCGAUGAGUAGGGCGGGACACGUGGUAUCCUGUCUGAAUAUGGGGGGACCAUCCUCCAAGGCUAAAUACUCCUGACUGACCGAUAGUGAACCAGUACCGUGAGGGAAAGGCGAAAAGAACCCCGGCGAGGGGAGUGAAAAAGAACCUGAAACCGUGUACGUACAAGCAGUGGGAGCACGCUUAGGCGUGUGACUGCGUACCUUUUGUAUAAUGGGUCAGCGACUUAUAUUCUGUAGCAAGGUUAACCGAAUAGGGGAGCCGAAGGGAAACCGAGUCUUAACUGGGCGUUAAGUUGCAGGGUAUAGACCCGAAACCCGGUGAUCUAGCCAUGGGCAGGUUGAAGGUUGGGUAACACUAACUGGAGGACCGAACCGACUAAUGUUGAAAAAUUAGCGGAUGACUUGUGGCUGGGGGUGAAAGGCCAAUCAAACCGGGAGAUAGCUGGUUCUCCCCGAAAGCUAUUUAGGUAGCGCCUCGUGAAUUCAUCUCCGGGGGUAGAGCACUGUUUCGGCAAGGGGGUCAUCCCGACUUACCAACCCGAUGCAAACUGCGAAUACCGGAGAAUGUUAUCACGGGAGACACACGGCGGGUGCUAACGUCCGUCGUGAAGAGGGAAACAACCCAGACCGCCAGCUAAGGUCCCAAAGUCAUGGUUAAGUGGGAAACGAUGUGGGAAGGCCCAGACAGCCAGGAUGUUGGCUUAGAAGCAGCCAUCAUUUAAAGAAAGCGUAAUAGCUCACUGGUCGAGUCGGCCUGCGCGGAAGAUGUAACGGGGCUAAACCAUGCACCGAAGCUGCGGCAGCGACGCUGAUGCGUUGUUGGGUAGGGGAGCGUUCUGUAAG